rnacentral:rRNA from 1 species
UACGGAGGGUGCAAGCGUUAUCCGGAUUCACUGGGUUUAAAGGGUGCGUAGGUGGGCAGGUAAGUCAGUGGUGAAAUCUCCGGGCUUAACUCGGAAACUGCCAUUGAUACUAUCUUUCUUGAAUACCGUGGAGGUCAGCGGAAUAUGUCAUGUAGCGGUGAAAUGCUUAGAUAUGACAUAGAACACCAAUUGCGAAGGCAGCUGGCUAGACGAAUAUUGACACUGAUGCACGAAAGCGUGGGGAUCAAACAGG